UACGUAGGGUGCAAGCGUUGUCCGGAAUUAUUGGGCGUAAAGAGCUCGUAGGCGGCUUGUCACGUCGGCUGUGAAAACCCGAGGCUCAACCUCGGGUCUGCAUCCGAUACUGCCCGGCUAGAGGUAGGUAGGGGAGAUCGGAAUUCCUGGUGUAGCGGUGAAAUGCGCAGAUAUCAGGAGGAACACCGGUGGCGAAGGCGGCCUUCUGGACGGUGACUGACGCUGAGACGCGAAAGCGUGGGGAGCAAACAGG
rnacentral:rRNA from 1 species